UCAGAGCAGGGAAGUCACAGCAAGAGAAGCUUGAGAGCUGAUCAUGUUACAGCCACAAUCAAGAACAGGGAACAAUAAAUUAAUGCAUGCAGGCUAAUGCUCACCUUGCCCUUUCCAAUUUGCACAGUCCAGAAUCUCCUGCUCAGGGAAUGGUCCUGCCCACAAUGGGCAGGUCUUCUUACCUCAAUUAGAUUCCUCACAGACAUCCUCAGAGGUUAACCUUCAGCUAGACGAUCCUCACAGACUGUGGAUGUAAUGUGAUCAGCUGCUUUGAGCGUCUGCUUUGACUUUCUCUGCAUCAUGGAUGAUUCUGCCGUGGAUCCUCCUUUGUGGAGCUGUGUUCAUAAUGCCUCUGCCAUCUUGGACAGAAAGAAAAGGAAGGACAUACUGAAUACCCCUGUAGACAACAGUGCACACUGCUGAGGCGAUGCCUCCUAGAGUUGGGUCAGAACGCCAUGGUGGGAGGACGCGCUACAGAAGAAAGAAAACGUAUCUUCAGAGCGGCAAUCAGAAUUUGGAAGCACAAAUGGCCAUGAUUUCUAUGGCCAUGAUUCUAGAAAACCCCAGGCUAUAAAAUCUGUGCCCCAGAGCAGUGACCUGACCCAUGUCUAGGAGAGCUGAGCCAGGGCACCAUCUACUAAACCUACCAUUUAAAUUUGCUUAAAAGAAUUUUCAAACUUAAAAAACCACAGUCCAUAACCCAUCCUUUGGUAUGUCAGGAACUAUAUGAGU